rnacentral:misc_RNA from 1 species
AACGCAUAUUGCGCUCGACUCCUCGGAGAAGAGCAUGUCUGCCUCAGCGUCGGUUUACACCCUCACCCCUCUUCCUUAACAGGAGGCGCCUGUCGUGCUUGCUCAAGCCGGCAGCAGGGGUGGAUCUGGCUCUCCCAAUUGGUUCACUCCGAUUGGGUUGGCUGAAGCACAGAGGAUUAAACUGGGACCCAAUUCGGGCUCAACUGGAUAGGUAGCAACACCCUCGGGUGCCUACACGAAGUUGUGUCUGAGGACCUGGUUAGGAUCCAAGCAGGAAACAUGCCUCUGGCAUGUACUCUGUAUUCGACCUGAGCUCAGGCAAGGCUACCCGCUGAACUUAA